UGGGGGAUUUGAAAAGGUAUGCAAAUGACAAAAAAGAUUACGGUUUCAUGCCAAGCAAAACAAGGGACACAAACUGCCAUGUCGAGCGAUGGUUUGGAAUUGUGAAACACUCAAUUCUGAGAAAACAAAGGCGACUAAGGCCAGGAACAUUUGUCAGACAAAUGUAUGGCUCUCUACAGCUCAUAACCUCUCUGAGUGGUUGCUACUUAGACCCAUCUCAAAAAAAAAAAAAACAACAACAACAAAAAAAACACUCAAUCUCAGGAAGGUUGGGCAAAGAGAGAUGGAUCAAAGCCUCAAAUUGCCAAGUCCAAAAUUUACACUGCUCCAUCCACUGUUCCAUUUCCAAAGAAAGCAAAGUCCAUCAAGAAAGGCAGCAAAGAUUUUAAUAGCUGCACCACUGACCUCACAUGAGAAGUGUCAGAGCCUGCCACAGAGGUAAUUUUUGAUGAUUAUUCAAAUAAAACGUAUGCUUUACACAUAUUAAAGAUGAUCAGUUUACAGACAGACAUGCAGGGAGGCAGAUAGAUUGAUGUGUUCAAUCAGUCUCCUCACUGCUCCUGUAUAUUACUGGAAACAAAUUAAAGCUUUUUUUCCCCUUCAUUUUCACACAUUGUUUCAGGUCACAUUUGAUGACUAUGAUGGAGCCAUUGGAUUAGUCAACAUAUUUGUCAAUAUAGGAAAUGUUCACUGGAAGUUUGUGGGUAGAGGUGGGAGGUCUUAAUUGAGAGUGAAUGGCAGGUGAGAAUGAUGGCAGUGGCAACAGUCCAGAGAGAUUUCUGGAAAGUGGAUAAAGGAUCGUGGAUUCAGAGUAUGGAGCUGGUAUCCUGGAGACUGGGGACAAGGGAAAACCACAAGUGGAUCGUCAGAGAUUCUGGAGGUAAAAUAGAAACAGGUUAGCACUCAAGGGUCUGGUAUUGCUCAGUGUAGUGACCAGACACCAAAGUCUUCUUCUUCUUCUUCUUCUUUUAGUUGUUUGGCCGUUCACUCCAUAGGAGCAUUACUGCCACCUACUGAAUAUUUUAUCCACCUGGGUGAUAAAUCUGUAUUGUUUUCAAAAAAUUGAAGGGAGGUGGAUACCCCACCCACCCCAAAGGAUCAGAGCCCAGGCUUCAGCUGAUGCUGCGUGUUCAGCUCCUCCAACUUCCACACUGGGCUCCUCAGCCUUUAAGGCAGGCAGAGGCACCAUACAUCUCACCCUCAGACCCUAUAUUUCUAUAUCCUGUAGCAUAGACCUGUAACCUCCAAAAAGAUUAAAACAGCCCUAUAUAUCUGAUUGUCACUUAAACCCUUUCCCAGAAGAUCCACAACGCUCACUGGCCUAUUUUUAAUACUAUUAAAAAGACUGUCACGCUGACCAUCAUAUUUACCACAAUUAAAAAGCACAUGCUCAACUGUUUCUAAAAUAUUACACUCGUUACACAUCCCACUUUCAUGCUUCCCCAUUAAUGCUAAUGUUGAAUUUAAUCCUGUAUGUCCCAUUCUUAAUCUAGAUAUCAUUACUACUUCUUUUCUAUAUCUUCCAAAAAACUGUACUUUUUUCCCUACUGAUUUCUCAAUACUAUAAAACCACCUACCUGUUCUGCUAUUUUCCCAUCUUUGUUGCCAUUCUUGUAUUAAUUUCCUAUUAAUCUCAGAUUUUAUUUCACUUCUACCCAAAGGGACUUUAACUUCCACCAUGUUUUUCUUUAAUGCCUCUUUUGCUAAUUUAUCAGCUAUUUCAUUCCCUAUUAUCCCGAUAUGUGCUGGCACCCAACAAAAAUAUACAAUUACACCUUCCAUUUUCAAUCUGUACAAUAAAGUAUAAAUUUCCACUAACAGAUCUUCUCUAUCACUUUUUGUAGACUUUAUACUUUUAAGAGCUGAUGAAGAAUCUAAGCAAAUUAAUAUCCUGUUUGGCCUAACCUGUUCAACCCAUUGUAGUCCUAC
ensembl:lncRNA